rnacentral:rRNA from 1 species
AACGAACGCUGGCGGCGUGCCUAACACAUGCAAGUCGAACGCGAAAGUCCUUCGGGAUGAGUAAAGUGGCGCACGGGUGAGUAACACGUAGGUGACCUGCCUUUUAGAGGGGAAUAACCAGAUGAAAAUUUGGCUAAUGCCGCAUACGAAGCAUAAAUAUUAUAGUAAUGCUUGAAAGGAUGCCUCUGUAUAUGCAUCCACCAAAAGAUGGGCCUGCGGAACAUUAGCUAGUUGGUGGGGUAAAGGCCUACCAAGGCAACGAUGUUUAUCGGGUCUGAGAGGAUGAUCGGACACACUGGAACUGAGCAACGGUCCAGACUCCUACGGGAGGCAGCAGUGGGGAAUAUUGCGCAAUGGGGGAAACCCUGACGCAGCAACGCCGCGUGAGUGAGGAAGGACUUCGGUCUGUAAAGCUCUGUUAAUGAGGAAAAAUGGUAGUUGGUCUAAUAGGCCGAUUAUUUGAUGGUACUCAUAGAGGAAGCACCGGCUAACUUCGUGCCAGCAGCCGCCGUAA